UUGAACCGCCAGAACUGCUUGAUC
rnacentral:siRNA from 1 species